rnacentral:rRNA from 1 species
GACGAACGCUGGCGGCGUGCCUAAUACAUGCAAGUAGAACGCUGAAGGAGGAGCUUGCUUCUCUGGAUGAGUUGCGAACGGGUGAGUAACGCGUAGGUAACCUGCCUGGUAGCGGGGGAUAACUAUUGGAAACGAUAGCUAAUACCGCAUAAUAGCAGUUGUUGCAUGACAGCUGUUUGGAAGGUGCAAUUGCACCACUGCCAGAUGGACCUGCGUUGUAUUAGCUAGUUGGUGGGGUAACGGCUCACCAAGGCGACGAUACAUAGCCGACCUGAGAGGGUGAUCGGCCACACUGGGACUGAGACACGGCCCAGACUCCUACGGGAGGCAGCAGUAGGGAAUCUUCGGCAAUGGACGGAAGUCUGACCGAGCAACGCCGCGUGAGUGAAGAAGGUUUUCGGAUCGUAAAGCUCUGUUGUAAGAGAAGAACGAGUGUGAGAGUGGAAAGUUCACACUGUGACGGUAUCUACCA